rnacentral:rRNA from 1 species
CCUUAGAUGUUCUGGGCCGCACGCGCGCUACACUGACGGGGCCAACGAGUAUAAUCCUUGGCCGAAAGGUCUGGGUAAUCUUGUUAAACCCCGUCGUGCUGGGGAUAGGGCAUUGCAAUUAUUGCCCUUCAACGAGGAAUUCCUAGUAAGCGCAAGUCAUCAGCUUGCGUUGAUUACGUCCCUGCCCUUUGUACACACCGCCCGUCGCUACUACCGAUUGAAUGGCUCAGUGAGGCCUUCGGAUUGGCCCAGGGAGGGGGGCAACCCCCGCCCAGGGCCGAGAAGUUGGUCAAACUUGGUCAUUUAGAGGAAGUAAAAGUCGUAACAAGGUUUCCUUCCAAGGGUGUACGCCUCCGGAAGCCUUGGAAAGCGUGCCUGCGGGCAGCCGCGGCGACUCUAAAUAAAACCGCGGCGCACGCUAGUCGGCCACAGCGCCGGCGACACCGUCGAAUUGCGGGGAAGCCCUGAAGGCCGCGGGACCGCCGGCGCUCGAAAGAGCGCCGCAAGGUAACACUCCGCGGCACGGGGGCAAUCCGCAGCCAAAGCCUAAAGCCCCGAGGGGCCACGGCGGAGGUUCACAGAUUAAGUGGCGGUGGGUCCGGUAAGGGCCUAAGAUAUAAUCGGGUCCCGGCCGAGAGGCGGGGAAACGUGCACAGCAACGUAACUGUUCCGUAGGUGAACCUGCGGAAGGAUCAUUAAAAAAUACUGGCUGCCAUUCGUUUGGGAGCCGCUGGCGGGGCGCAAGCCCGAACCAGCUGUAAACCCUUUGUGAAAACCUUCUUGCUUCGGCAGCCCCUCUCGGGGGUCAGCCUGCCGGCGCAGAACUAAACUCUUCUUUAAAACCUUUCUGUCAGACUUAAAAGUCGAAUUGACUAUAAAACUUUCAACAACGGAUCUCUUGGUUCCCGCAUCGAUGAAGAACGCAGCGAAACGCGAUAGUUAAUGUGAAUUGCAGAAUUCAGUGAAUCAUCGAGUCUUUGAACGCACAUUGCGCCUCCUGGUAUUCCGGGAGGCACGUCCGUUUGAGCGUCAGCUUAACCUUCCAAAUUACUUUAUGUGAUUUGGGCACUGGCGAGGGGACCACCCCCCGCUUAAACGCAGGGAAGCUGGCGGCACCAACCGCAACGACUCAUAGAAUUUCUACCCGUCGUAAGCCUUUGGCGCAGCAAACUUCUAAAAAUCAGGUUCUUGCAACUUUAUUUUUGACCUCAAAUCGGACGAGGAUACCCGCUGAACUUAAGCAUAUCAAUAAGCGGAGGAAAAGAAACCAACAGGGAUUGCCUCAGUAGCGGCGAGUGAAGCGGCAAGAGCUCAGAUUUGAAAUCCGGCGCGGUUCCCGCACCCGAGUUGUAAUCUGGAGAGGAUGCCCCGGCGAGGCCGGCCGUCCAAGUUCCUUGGAACAGGACGUCUAAGAGGGUGAGAACCCCGUACCCGGCGGCCUGCCUAGCCGCGUGGGGCUCCUUCGACGAGUCGAGUUGUUUGGGAAUGCAGCUCAAACUGGGUGGUAAAUUCCAUCUAAAGCUAAAUACCGGCGGGAGACCGAUAGCGCACAAGUAGAGUGAUCGAAAGAUGAAAAGCACUUUGAAAAGAGAGUUAAAAAGUACGUGAAAUUGUUGAAAGGGAAGCGCUUGCCAUCAGAACCGGGGCCGGCCGAUCAGCGAUCCUUCUGGCUCGUGCACUCGGCCGGUUCCCGUGCCAGCAUCGGCGGCCGCGGCGGGACAAAGGCGGCGGGAACGUGGCUCCCCUCGGGGAGUGUUACAGCCCGCCGCGUAAUGCCGCCAGCUGGCCGCCGAGGACCGCGCGCAAGCAAGGAUGCUGGCCUAAUGGUCGUAAGCGACA